rnacentral:ncRNA from 1 species
GCCGCGGGACGACCCGGGGCGUGUCGAAUCAUGCGGGGACGGCCCUG